ACACUAAACCUGAGACACGAGACGAGUCACUACGGUGAUGAAGUUGCUGAUGCCAUACUUCCAGGAAAAGCCUCUAAGCUUCAGAUUAUAUGGAAUCGUACCCCAAACCGACACAGGUGGUCAGGUAGAGAAUACUAAGGCGCUUGAGAGAACUCGGGUGAAGGAACUAGGCAAAAUCGUACCGUAACUUCGGGAGAAGGUACGCUCCUAUCUGUGAUGAGACUUGCUCUCUAAGCGGACGGGAGCCGCAGUGACCAGGUGGCUGGGACUGUUUAUUAAAAACACAGCACUGUGCAAAAUCGCAAGAUGACGUAUACGGUGUGACACCUGCCCGGUGCCGGAAGGUUAAUUGAUGGGGUUAUCCUUAGGGAGAAGCUCUUGAUCGAAGCCCCGGUAAACGGCGGCCGUAACUAUAACGGUCCUAAGGUAGCGAAAUUCCUUGUCGGGUAAGUUCCGACCUGCACGAAUGGUGUAACCAUGGCCACGCUGUCUCCACCCGAGACUCAGUGAAAUUGAAAUCGCAGUGAAGAUGCUGUGUACCCGCGGCUAGACGGAAAGACCCCGUGAACCUUUACUACAGCUUGGCACUGAACAUUGAACCUACAUGUGUAGGAUAGGUGGGAGACUUUGAAGCAGCGACGCUAGUUGUUGUGGAGUCAACCUUGAAAUACCACCCUUGUAGUUUUGAUGUUCUAACGUUGGCCCCUGAAUCGGGGUUACGGACAGUGCCUGGUGGGUAGUUUGACUGGGGCGGUCUCCUCCUAAAGAGUAACGGAGGAGCACGAAGGUUGGCUAAGUACGGUCGGACAUCGUACGGUUAGUGUAAUGGUAGAAGCCAGCUUAACUGCGAGACAGACACGUCGAGCAGGUACGAAAGUAGGUCAUAGUGAUCCGGUGGUUCUGAAUGGAAGGGCCAUCGCUCAACGGAUAAAAGGUACUCCGGGGAUAACAGGCUGAUACCGCCCAAGAGUUCAUAUCGACGGCGGUGUUUGGCACCUCGAUGUCGGCUCAUCACAUCCUGGGGCUGAAGUCGGUCCCAAGGGUAUGGCUGUUCGCCAUUUAAAGUGGUACGCGAGCUGGGUUUAGAACGUCGUGAGACAGUUCGGUCCCUAUCUGCCGUGGGCGUUUGAGAAUUGAGAGGGGUUGCUCCUAGUACGAGAGGACCGGAGUGAACGAACCGCUGGUGUUCGGGUUGUCAUGCCAAUGGCAUUGCCCGGUAGCUACGUUCGGAACUGAUAAGCGCUGAAAGCAUCUAAGCGCGAAGCAGGCCUCGAGAUGAGUUCUCACUAGACUUUUAAAGUCUCUGAAGGGCCGUUGAAGACUACAACGUUGAUAGGCAAGAUGUGGAAGUGGUGUGAGCCAUUAAGCUAACUUGUACUAAUUACCCGUGAGGCUUAACCAU
rnacentral:rRNA from 1 species